CGACCCCAGGUCAGGCGGGAUUACCCGCUGAGUUUAA
rnacentral:rRNA from 8 species